CUCACUUGAACCUACUCCAUAUAUGGCUAAAUUGGCCUUUACACAAAUAUAUAUAUUUAUAUAUAUAUAUAUAUAUAUAUAUAUAUAUAUUUUAUUUUUUUAAUUGGAGUAGCCCCAAAAUAUUGGGACAUAUAAAAAAAGACAACUCUGUUCCACAGAGUAGCUGUUAACAUUAUAGUUGCACAGGAACUUUGUUGACUCUAGAGAACCUCGGGCAAAUCGCAAUUCACCGUGGCGGCGACUUUGCAUACAUAUGUCAUCCAUAUCAACUUUCGAUGGCAGUUUCUGCGCCUACCAUGGUGACCACGGGUAACGGAGAAUCAGGGUUCCAUUCCAUACAGGGACCCUGAGAAACAGCUACCACAUGCAAGGAAGGCAGCAGGCGCGCAAAUGACCCACUCCCGACGUGGGAAGGUAGUGAUGACAAAUAACAAUACUUUAGAGGCCCUGUAAUUGUAAUGAGUCCACUUGAAAUCCAAUUGGAGGGAAGUCUGGUGCAGAGCCACUGACCCGUGCAUGCUGCAGCUGAAACUCCACUAUCACAUGCUGCUGCUCGCACAUGAGGCGGUGAGCGGGAAAGCCAAUGCCAAAAG
rnacentral:rRNA from 1 species